GCUGGCCUACCUUCUAAAUAGUGGUGUUGAUCUGCCUUCAGUCCUGAAGUGCUGAUGCUUGUGGUGUGGACUUGUUCCAUCCUACACUGUUGCUACUGUAUGCAAGAGCUUUGAACCAUUCUCACACAUCCUAUCACUGAAUACCAGGUAGAAGAGAUCAGCCAAGAUGAAGAGCCUAGGUAACUGGAAGAAAUUAAAAGAAAUAAACUAGCUCAGUGAAGCACUAUGGAGACAGAAGGUGAACUGUUUGCAGUGUCCCAGUACGAAACUACCAAAGAAGAAGGGCUCUUUGAUAAAUCAGGAGUAAAGGUUUAUCAACUGACUACAAAUAAACUUGGUUUGAAAGCAGUUGCUAUACCAAACAUUAGAGGAACAAAUCUCUGCAACAGCUUGUACUUCAAAAGACAAGGAACCUCAGAUUUGUUUUCCUUUGGACUCUGUCAGAUUUCUGAAUUGCAUUAAAUAGUGCCGUUUAUAACAAAAAGGGAUUUAUUAUAAUGAAUUACAGGCCCAGAAUAGUU